rnacentral:rRNA from 1 species
CAGUAGCCGCGGGAACACGUAGGUGGCAAGCGUUGUCCGGAAUUAUUGGGCGUAAAGGGCUCGCAGGCGGCUUCUUAAGUCUGAUGUGAAAGCCCCCGGCUCAACCGGGGAGGGUCAUUGGAAACUGGGAAACUUGAGUGCAGAAGAGGAGAGUGGAAUUCCACGUGUAGCGGUGAAAUGCGUAGAGAUGUGGAGGAACACCAGUGGCGAAGGCGACUCUCUGGUCUGUAACUGACGCCGAGGAGCGAAAGCGUGGGGAGCGAACAGGAUUAGAUACCCGUGUAGUCCCUGUCUCUUAUAC